rnacentral:tRNA from 1 species
ACAGGUAUAGCUCAGUGGUAGAGUACGUGCACAAGGUCCUGGGUUCAAUCCCCAGUGCCUCCA